AAAAAUCCGCCUGUCAUAUACUGAGGCUGCCGAUCGAGCGAGCUUGCUCGCGAAGUGAUUGAACGAGGUUCCAGGAAAAGCCACUAAGCUUCAGCUACACACGACCGUACCGCAAACCGACACUGGUGCGCGAGAUGAGUAUUCUAAGGCGCUUGAGAGAACUCGGGAGAAGGAACUCGGCAAAUUGACACCGUAACUUCGGAAGAAGGUGUGCCCUAGUAGUGUGAAGUGAACAACGGAGCAUGAAUGGGUUGCAAAAAAUCGGUGGCUGCGACUGUUUAUUAAAAACACAGCACUCUGCAAACACGAAAGUGGACGUAUAGGGUGUGACGCCUGCCCGGUGCUGGAAGAUUAAAUGAUGGGGUGCAAGCUCUUGAUUGAAGUCCCAGUAAACGGCGGCCGUAACCAUAACGGUCCUAAGGUAGCGAAAUUCCUUGUCGGGUAAGUUCCGACCUGCACGAAUGGCGUAACGAUGGCCACACUGUCUCCUCCCGAGACUCAGCGAAGUUGAAAUGUUUGUGAUGAUGCAAUCUCCCCGCGGAAAGACGGAAAGACCCCAUGAACCUUUACUGUAGCUUUGUAUUGGACUUUGAACAGAUCUGUGUAGGAUAGGUGGGAGGCUUUGAAGCAGGGUCGCUAGAUCUUGUGGAGCCAACGUUGAAAUACCACCCUGGUGUGUUUGAGGUUCUAACCUAGGUCCAUUAUCUGGAUCGGGGACAGUGCAUGGUAGGCAGUUUGACUGGGGCGGUCUCCUCCCAAAGCGUAACGGAGGAGUUCGAAGGUACGCUAGUUACGGUCGGACAUCGUGACGAUAGUGCAAUGGCAUAAGCGUGCUUAACUGCGAGACUGACAAGUCGAGCAGAUGCGAAAGCAGGACAUAGUGAUCCGGUGGUUCUGUAUGGAAGGGCCAUCGCUCGACGGAUAAAAGGUACUUUGGGGAUAACAGGCUGAUACCGCCCAAGAGUUCAUAUCGACGGCGGUGUUUGGCACCUCGAUGUCGGCUCAUCUCAUCCUGGGGCUGUAGCCGGUCCCAAGGGUAUGGCUGUUCGCCAUUUAAAGAGGUACGUGAGCUGGGUUUAAAACGUCGUGAGACAGUUUGGUCCCUAUCUUCCGUGGGCGCUGCAGAUUUGAGGAAGCCUGCUCCUAGUACGAGAGCACCGGAGUGGACGCACCUCUGGUGUAUCGGUUGUCACGCCAGUGGCAUUGCCGAGUAGCUAUGUGCGGAAGAGAUAACCGCUGAAAGCAUCUAAGCGGGAAACUCGUUCCAAGAUGAGAUCUGCCGGGGCCUUGAGCCCCCUAAAGAGUCGUUCAAGACCAGGACGUUGAUAGGUCAGGUGUGGAAGCGCAGUAAUGCGUUAAGCUAACUGAUACUAAUUGCUCGUGCGGCUUGACCCU
rnacentral:rRNA from 1 species